rnacentral:rRNA from 1 species
AGUGAACGCUGGCGGUAGGCCUAACACAUGCAAGUCGAACGGCAGCACAGUAAGAGCUUGCUCUUACGGGUGGCGAGUGGCGGACGGGUGAGGAAUACAUCGGAAUCUACUUUUUCGUGGGGGAUAACGUAGGGAAACUUACGUUAAUACCGCAUACGACAUACGGGUGAAAGCAGGGGAUCUUCGGACCUUGCGCGAUUGAAUGAGCCGAUGUCGGAUUAGCUAGUUGGCGGGGUAAAGGCCCACCAAGGCGACGAUCCGUAGCUGGUCUGAGAGGAUGAUCAGGCACACUGGAACUGAGACACGGUCCAGACUCCUACGGGAGGCAGCAGUGGGGAAUAUUGGACAAUGGGCGCAAGCCUGAUCCAGCCAUACCGCGUGGGUGAAGAAGGCCUUCGGGUUGUAAAGCCCUUUUGUUGGGAAAGAAAAGCAGCAGGUUAAUACCCCGCUGUUCUGACGGUACCCAAAGAAUAAGCACCGGCUAACUUCGUG